UACGGGGGGGGCAAGCGUUGUUCGGAAUUACUGGGCGUAAAGCGUGCGCAGGCGGUUAUGUAAGACAGUUGUGAAAUCCCCGGGCUCAACCUGGGAACUGCAUCUGUGACUGCAUAGCUAGAGUACGGUAGAGGGGGAUGGAAUUCCGCGUGUAGCAGUGAAAUGCGUAGAUAUGCGGAGGAACACCGAUGGCGAAGGCAAUCCCCUGGACCUGUACUGACGCUCAUGCACGAAAGCGUGGGUAGCAAACAGG
rnacentral:rRNA from 1 species